rnacentral:rRNA from 1 species
AUUAAACACUGGCGGCAGGCCUAACACAUGCAAGUCGAACGGUAGCACAGAGAGCUUGCUCUCGGGUGACGAGUGGCGGACGGGUGAGUAACGUCUGGGAAACUGCCCGAUGGAGGGGGAUAACUACUGGAAACGGUUGCUAAUACCGCAUAACGUCGCAUGACCAACGUGGGGGACCUUCGGGCCUCACACCAUCCGAUGUGCCCAGAUGGGAUUAGCUAGUAGGUGGGGUAAUGGCUCCCCUAGGCGACUAUCCCUAGCUGGUCUGAGAGGAUGACCAGCCACACUGGAACUGAGACACGGUCCAGACUCCUACGGGAGGCAGCAGUGGGGAAUAUUGCACAAUGGGCGCAAGCCUGAUGCAGCCAUGCCGCGUGUAUGAAGAAGGCCUUCGGGUUGUAAAGUACUUUCAGCGGGGAGGAAGGCGGUGAGGUUAAUAACCUCGCCGAUUGACGUUACCCGCAGAAGAAGCACCGGCUAACUCCGUGCCAGCCGCCGCAGUAA